GGUGGUUCUCAGGUGAUGCACCCCGGAAUUGGGCUCCCUCCUCUCUGGUUCCAGGUGCGUCACCCAAGAACCACA
rfam:Myotis davidii contig68512, whole genome shotgun sequence.